rnacentral:sRNA from 1 species
UAUAUAUAUAUAUAUAUUUGAGAUGGAUAAGACAAGAGAAUCCGGCUGGCGUACAUGACAAAUAUGGCAAUGUCGCGUUUUCCCCGUUGCCAGCGUCCUUUCAAACCUAUCUAGAGUCGUGCGCAUGCCAUUACCAUUAUAUUGGGACCAGAAAAUGAUCAAAAAACAUUAAAAAAAUGUAUACUGGCUAGGACCAAUGGAUUCAAUAAUAUAUACCACAAUUAAUUAGUAUAUUGCACAGGAGUGAUAUGCAAACCACCAUGUUGUCUGGACUCUCGUAGCAACCCUGUCACCACUAUAAUUCUACUUUUUGCGUACAGUGAAAUCUACAGGUUGAUCCCCUCGGUAGAGUUAGCCGACAUAAGUCCAGAUCAUGGAAUUAUUACGAACAGUUCUAGUCCUAAUCAUCAAACACUAUAUUGUGUUAGCUGGCCAAUCUGUACAUAUCAUUAUAUAUCUAAAAAGAUUUGUACAUAUAUUACCAUAUACAUAUGUCGCGAGAUAAUUAUAUGGUAUGAUGAAUGCCUCUCCUGUCUUAGUCGUCAAACGCGGUGCAUUGUGUUACAGAGGAAUAUCUAUAUGAUUGAUAGGUCGCAACAUACAAACAGAAUAUGGCGCUAUGUUUCAAUUUGCACAGGUGUUUUUAUGUUUUUCAAUAUAAUUAGUGUGGGCUAAAAAUUGUUUAUAAGCCGUAACGGCUUAUUAGCGAUAUCAGAAAAUAUUUUGUGUGUAAAACUUUUAUAUAUAUGUAUUCUUAGUGCCUUAAAAACCAAUACUGAAAAAAUCUACGUUGAAAAUAUCUCAAAGUCAACUUUAAAAUUAAGUUUUACAAUUUAAAAUUUGACUUUUUCUUUGGUUUUUUAGGUAAUAACCAAUGGAGCUAUAAAUCACUUUUCGGUGCGUUACCCUAGGUAGGUCCCAUGGAACAAACCACAAUAUAUUAUUAUACAGUGGUGUGAGUGUGUGACAUAUAUAACCAUGUGGUUAGGAUUGUUGUAGUAGCCAGUACCCAAUUAUUUCGAUUUUCUGCGUUCAGUGCAAUCUACAUAUUGAUUCUCAUAUAUGUCAAUAUCAUGGAAUUAUAUAUGUUGAGCAGUUUGCAGUCUUAGUCAGCAAACAGUACGUACAUUUGCUUUUAGCUAGCUAGCUAGCCAUACAUACAGUAUUUACAUAUAUAGUAUAUAUCGUGAAUAGUUCUCUAGUCUUAGUCAUCAAUACAUACAUUGUAUUUUUAAAUAUGUGGUUGCCAAUUAAUAACUUUUUGGUAUGUUAUCUCAGGUAGGACCCAAAGAACAAACCGCCGGCCACAUGGCUAGGAACCGUAUCCUCUGACAUUACACACUAAUAUCAUGGUGUAACAUUCUUGAAUCCAGACCAUCCAAAAUAAAUCAAUGGCUAUAGAUUAAUUGGCAUACAAGUAAUCAAAUUAAUUAGCAGAUUAUGUAGUUAAACAUUACCAUACUUAAUGAGUAGAAAAUUUUUUUAGCACUAAAGUAGUCCCUUCAUGUUCAUUAACAUGAGCCCACCAACUUGUAGAUUAUAAGAGAAUUGUCUUUUUCUUAUGGAAGAUGAGGCAACACAAAGAAAAUUGAUGCACGAGAUUCAUUCCUUAACAGGUUCAUAUGCUAAUCAUUGCGUCUAACAGGUAAGUUAAACCAUUAUCGUCAUGUGCUAGUUACUUGCCGAUUCCGGCCUGUAGCAUUUAGCGAUAUUUGCCUCCUUGAUAAUAUAUUUGAUCUAAAGGAAUUUGUUUAACUACAUAAUCUACUAAUUAGUUUGAUUAAUUGUAUGCCAAAUAAUCUAUGACCGUUGAUUUAGAAUGGAUGGUGUGGAUCAAAGGAAUGUCACACCAUGACAUUAGUGUGUAAUGUUAGAGGAUACGGUUCCACAUGGCUAGCUAGCUAUGUCAAAACAUUACAUUGUGUUCAUACAUAUAACAUAUAUAUAUGUACACUAUAUAUGCUCGUGAAAUGUUCUCGUCUUAGUCGUUAAAAAGUACAAUGUUGUAUUAUGUUGGAGUAGUACAAUGUUAUUGUGUUUUUAAAAUGUGUUCCUUCUAAGAUAACGUGUGUUUUUCUUAAUUCUCUGAAAGCACGAUACAGCGGCGCCCGUAUAUAUUUGGAUCAUCUGCUAGCUCCCCUAGCUAGCAGAUUUCAUCUAUUCGUCGGAGGCAGCAUUCAGGCAUGCAUAUUUCUCUCUGCUCCUCCAUUGAAAUUUACACAUUAAUUCAUUGCUUGCGCCAGAAAGGGAGAAAAAAAAUAAUGACCAGCCUUAGGACAAACACUAGGAUCAGAAAUGUCCAGCAAAUGUACACGCAUAUGAUUAAGAAAGAGAAACAACGCAUAUGCCGUUUGUGUACUUAUUGCAUCUGACAAUGAUGCUUCUCGUCUCUUUUGGGGAAAAUCAAAAUUUAUACUUUUGGAGCUAAUUUUAAGAUACUUUCAAUGUAAUUCUUUUUAGUGUGGGUUUUUAAGUCGCUACAAAUAAAUAUAUAAAAGUUUUACCUCUAAUAAAGUCUUGU